GACGAACGCUGGCGGCGUGCCUAAUACAUGCAAGUUGAGCGCUGAAGGUUGGUACUUGUACCAACUGGAUGAGCAGCGAACGGGUGAGUAACGCGUGGGGAAUCUGCCUUUGAGCGGGGGACAACAUUUGGAAACGAAUGCUAAUACCGCAUAAAAACUUUAAACACAAGUUUUAAGUUUGAAAGAUGCAAUUGCAUCACUCAAAGAUGAUCCCGCGUUGUAUUAGCUAGUUGGUGAGGUAAAGGCUCACCAAGGCGAUGAUACAUAGCCGACCUGAGAGGGUGAUCGGCCACAUUGGGACUGAGACACGGCCCAAACUCCUACGGGAGGCAGCAGUGGGGAAUCUUCGGCAAUGGACGAAAGUCUGACCGAGCAACGCCGCGGGAGUGAAGAAGGGUUUCGGAUCGUAAAACUCUGUUGGUAGAGAAGAACGUUGGUGAGAGUGGAAAGCUCAUCAAGUGACGGUAACUACCCAGAAAGGGACGGCUAACUACGUG
rnacentral:rRNA from 1 species